rnacentral:rRNA from 1 species
UACAGAGGGGGCUAGCGUUAUUCGGAAUUAUUGGGCGUAAAGGGCGCGUAGGCGGCCAUGCGUGUCUUCCGUGAAAUCCCUCGGCUUAACUGAGGACGUGCGGAAGAAACUGCAAGGCUCGAGUCCGGGAGAGGGGGGUGGAAUUCCUGGUGUAGCGGUGAAAUGCGCAGAUAUCAGGAGGAACACCGAUUGCGAAGGCAGCUCGCUGGGACGUGACUGACGCUGAGACGCGAAAGCGUGGGGAGCAAACAGG